UACGUAGGGGGCGAGCGUUGUCCGGAUUUAUUGGGCGUAAAGAGCGUGUAGGCGGCCAGGUAGGUCUGCUGUGAAAACUCGAGGCUCAACCUCGAGACGUCGGCGGAAACCAUCUGGCUAGAGUCCGGAAGAGGAGAGUGGAAUUCCUGGUGUAGCGGUGAAAUGCGCAGAUAUCAGGAGGAACACCAGUGGCGAAGGCGGCUCACUGGCCCGGUACUGACGCUGAGACGCGAAAGCGUGGGGAGCGAACAGG
rnacentral:rRNA from 1 species